rnacentral:rRNA from 1 species
UGAGGAAUAUUGGUCAAUGGACGAGAGUCUGAACCAGCCAAGUAGCGUGAAGGAUGACUGCCCUAUGGGUUGUAAACUUCUUUUAUACGGGAAUAAAGUGGAGUAUGCAUACUCCUUUGUAUGUACCGUAUGAAUAAGGAUCGGCUAACUCCGUGCCAGCAGCCGCGGUAAUACGGAGGAUCCGAGCGUUAUCCGGAUUUAUUGGGUUUAAAGGGAGCGUAGGCGGGUGCUUAAGUCAGUUGUGAAAGUUUGCGGCUCAACCGUAAAAUUGCAGUUGAUACUGGGCGCCUUGAGUGCAGCAUAGGUAGGCGGAAUUCGUGGUGUAGCGGUGAAAUGCUUAGAUAUCACGAAGAACUCCGAUUGCGAAGGCAGCUUACUGGACUGUAACUGACGCUGAUGCUCGAAAGUGUGGGUAUCAAACAGGAUUAGAUACCCUGGUAGUCCACACGGUAAACGAUGAAUACUCGCUGUUGGCGAUACACAGUCAGCGGCCAAGCGAAAGCAUUAAGUAUUCCACCUGGGGAGUACGCCGGCAACGGUGAAACUCAAAGGAAUUGACGGGGGCCCGCACAAGCGGAGGAACAUGUGGUUUAAUUCGAUGAUACGCGAGGAACCUUACCCGGGCUUAAAUUGCAGAUGAAUUACGGUGAAAGCCGUAAGCCGCAAGGCAUCUGUGAAGGUGCUGCAUGGUUGUCGUCAGCUCGUGCCGUGAGGUGUCGGCUUAAGUGCCAUAACGAGCGCAACCCUUGUUGUCAGUUACUAACAGGUUCCGCUGAGGACUCUGACAAGACUGCCAUCGUAAGAUGUGAGGAAGGUGGGGAUGACGUCAAAUCAGCACGGCCCUUACGUCCGGGGCUACACACGUGUUACAAUGGGGGGUACAGAGGGCCGCUACCACGCGAGUGGAUGCCAAUCCCCAAAACCUCUCUCAGUUCGGACUGGAGUCUGCAACCCGACUCCACGAAGCUGGAUUCGCUAGUAAUCGCGCAUCAGCCUCGGCGCGGUGAAUACGUUCCC